rnacentral:rRNA from 1 species
GACGAACGCUGGCGGCGUGCUUAACACAUGCAAGUCGAACGAUGAAGCGGGUGCUUGCACUCGUGGAUUAGUGGCGAACGGGCGAGUAACACGUGAGUAACCUGUCCUUUUCUUUGGGAUAACGGCUGGAAACGGCUGCUAAUACUGGAUAUUCAGGCUGCAUCGCAUGGUGUGGUUUGGAAAGGUUUUUUCUGGGAUUGGGUGGGCUCGCGGCCUAUCAGCUUGUUGGUGGGGUGAUGGCUUACCAAGGCUUUGACGGGUAGCCGGCCUGAGAGGGUGGUCGGUCGCACUGGGACUGAGAUACGGCCCAGACUCCUACGGGAGGCAGCAGUGGGGAAUAUUGCACAAUGGACGAAAGUUUGAUGCAGCGACGCCGCGUGGAGGGUGUAGGCCUUCGGGUUGUGAACUCCUUUUUCUCGCGAAAAGGGCACAGUUUUGGCUGUGUUGAUGGUAGUGGGGGAAGAAGCGCCGGCUAACUACGUG